rnacentral:lncRNA from 1 species
GUGGGCUUUCGAGGACAGCAAGUAUUUGGGAGCUCGGGUGGAGGAGAGGGGAUGAUGGCUCACCCCAAGCCUUGGACAGGAAGGCGAUUUCCUGCAUUCACGGCUUUCUCUUCUAGCUCCCUCACACACUGGGCGGCCUGCCCUGGGGCCUCUGCCAAAGCACGGGAAUUGAACCAUGUUUGUAUAACAUUAAUUCUAUGAGAAAAUAUGAUCCAAGUUUUAGAUAAUUGACUUCUAAAUUUACUUCUGGAAGACAGCCUGCUUAUUCAGGCUGCUUGUAUGGAAACAGAAUAGAGUGGAGCGGAAUGGAAGGGAAACAAGUAGGACAGCAGAGAGCAGGACAGGACAAGACAGGGCAGGAAAGGACAGGGCAGGACAGGACAGGACAGGACAGGACAGGGCAGGACGAGGACAGGACAGAACAGGACAGGACAGGGCAGGGCAGGACAGGACAGGGCAGGGCAGGACAGGACAGGACAGGACAGGGCAGGACAGGACAGGGCAGGACAGAACAGGACAGGACAGGACAGGGCAGGAGAGGACCGGACAUGGCAGGGCAGGACAGGGCAGAAAGUGACUCUAAUUUUUGCAUCCGAAGUAACUUGUUCAGCCUUCCUCAAGGAGCAGCAGUACAAGAGGCAAAUUUGUAAAGUGUGACUGAUGUUGGACAGAGCCAAUAUUUGAGCACAUUGCUAAAUUCUCAGUGCCUGAGCACAAUAGGCCCUUAAGGAAAAGUUCCUGAUUCGGGCCAGCCUGGCGGCCUAGUGGUUAAGUUCGAUUUGCUCUGCUUCAGCGGCCCAGGUUAGAUUCCCAGGCGCAGACCUAUACCGUUCUGUUAGCAACCAUGCUGUGCUGGUGGCCCACAUACUAAAAAAUAGAGGGAGACUGCACAGAUGUUAGCUCAGGGUGAAUCUUCCUCUGUGAAAAAAAAAAAAUUC